rfam:Oryza nivara chromosome 5, whole genome shotgun sequence.
AAGAAGAUGAAUCCUGAUUUCUGUGUUAAAUGUUUGACCGUCCGUCUUAUUUGAAAAAAUUAUAAAAAAAUUAAAAAGACAAGUCACGCAUAAAAUAUUAAUCAUGCUUUAUUAUCUAACAACAAUAAAAAUACAAAUUAUAAAAAAAUUUUAUAUAAGACAGACAGUUAAAGUUGAACACGGAAACUCAGAGUUUGUUUUUUU